GGGACUAUUUUGCUAAAUGGUUGAAAUUUUAGGGUUUUACCAUGAUAGUAAACAUGUUGUUUUCUAAAAUUUUAUGGAAGAAUAUGAGUUAUGGUUGUGUAACAAACAAGUUUUGUAAAGUAGUUUUCAAGGAAACCUUAAUUAGGGACCCUUUUGCAUAAGUUGAAAAUUAGAUGAUUGAUGUGAGAAAUAAUGAAAAUUUUGGGUUGCUAUAAGAGUAAAAAGGGUUCGGUUAGGCUUAAUAUAUGAAGAAAUUUGAUAAAAAUCGAUUUUCAGACCUAGG
rnacentral:lncRNA from 1 species